rnacentral:rRNA from 1 species
CGGGCCCGCACAAGCAGCGGAGCGUGUGGUUUAAUUCGAUGUUACACGAAGAACCUUACCUAGGCUUGACAUCCCGGGAAUUUUGUGGAAACACAGAAGUGCCUUUCGGGAACCCGGUGACAGGUGCUGCAUGGCUGUCGUCAGCUCGUGUCGUGAGAUGUUGGGUUAAGUCCCGCAACGAGCGCAACCCUUGUCUUUAAUUGCCAGCAUUCAGUUGGGCACUUUAAAGAGACUGCCGGUGUUAAGCCGGAGGAAGGUGGGAUGACGUCAAGUCCUCAUGGCCUUUAUGCCCAGGGCUACACACGUGCUACAAUGGGUGGUACAAAGAGAUGCCAACUCGCGAGAGCGCGCCAAUCUCAGAAAGCCAUCCUCAGUUCGGAUUGGAGUCUGCAACUCGACUCCAUGAAGUUGGAAUCGCUAGUAAUCGCGGAUCAGCACGCCGCGGUGAAUACGUUCCCGGGCCUU